UGCGUGGUAGCUCAGUUGGGAGAGCGCUCCGGUUCAUAGCCGGAGAGGUCGCUGGUUCGAUUCCAGUCCGCGCAG
rnacentral:tRNA from 1 species